rnacentral:rRNA from 1 species
GAUGAACGCUGGCGGCGUGCCUAACACAUGCAAGUCGAGCGAUCUUCUUCGGAAGAGAGCGGCGGACGGGUGAGUAACGCGUGGGUAACCUGCCUCAUACACAUGGAUAACAUACCGAAAGGUAUGCUAAUACAAGAUGAUAUAAGAGAUUCGCAUGGAUUUCUUAUCAAAGCCGCGGCGGUAUGAGAUGGACCCGCGUCUGAGUAGCUAGUUGGUAAGGUAACGGCUUACCAAGGCGACGAUCAGUAGCCGACCUGAGAGGGUGAUCGGCCACAUUGGAACUGAGACACGGUCCAAACUCCUACGGGAGGCAGCAGUGGGGAAUAUUGCACAAUGGGCGAAAGCCUGAUGCAGCAACGCCGCGUGAGCGAUGAAGGCCUUCGGGUCGUAAAGCUCUGUCCUCAAGGAAGAUAAUGACGGUACUUGAGGAGGAAGCCCCGGCUAACUACGUGCCAGCAGCCGCAGUAACAC